AGUUUGAUCAUGGCUCAGGACGAACGCUGGCGGCGUGCUUAAUACAUGCAAGUCGAGCGAGGUUACUGUUUUGGAUCCCUUCGGGGUGAAGAAGCUUUAACCUAGCGGCGGACGGGUGAGUAACGCGUGGGUAACCUACCCCAAAGUCCGGGAUAACAGCGGGAAACCGCUGCUAAUACCGGAUGCCUUUACCUUGGGGCAUCUUGAGGUAAAGAAAGGCAACGCUUUGGGAUGGGCCCGCGUCCCAUUAGCUAGUUGGUGAGGUAACGGCUCACCAAGGCGACGAUGGGUAGCCGGCCUGAGAGGGUGGACGGCCACACUGGGACUGAGACACGGCCCAGACUCCUACGGGAGGCAGCAGUUGGGAAUAUUGCGCAAUGGACGGAAGUCUGACGCAGCGACGCCGCGUGAGCGAUGAAGGUCUUCGGAUCGUAAAGCUCUGUCCUUGGGGAAGAAGGCGAAAGCUUGACGGUACCCAAGAAGAAAGCCCCGGCUAACUACGUGCCAGCAGCCGCGGUAAUACGUAGGGGGCGAGCGUUGUCCGGAAUUACUGGGCGUAAAGGGUGCGUAGGCGGCCCUUUAAGUCGGAUGUGAAAGCCCGCGGCUUAACCGCGGAAUGGCAUUCGAAACUGGAGGGCUUGAGUGUCGGAGAGGGUAGUGGAAUUCCCAGUGUAGCGGUGAAAUGCGUAGAUAUUGGGAGGAACACCAGUGGCGAAGGCGACUACCUGUACGAUAACUGACGCUGAGGCACGAAAGCUAGGGGAGCAAACAGGAUUAGAUACCCUGGUAGUCCUAGCCGUAAACGAUGGGUACUAGUGUGGGUGGUUUCGAUACCAUCCGUGCCGUAGUUAACGCAUUAAGUACCCCGCCUGGGGAGUACGUGCGCAAGCAUGAAACUCAAAUGAAUUGACGG
rnacentral:rRNA from 1 species